rnacentral:rRNA from 1 species
AACGAACGCUGGCGGCAUGCCUAACACAUGCAAGUCGAACGAGACCUUCGGGUCUAGUGGCGCACGGGUGCGUAACGCGUGGGAACCUGCCCUUAGGUUCGGAAUAACUCCCCGAAAGGGGUGCUAAUACCGGAUAAUGUCUUCGGACCAAAGAUUUAUCGCCUUUGGAUGGGCCCGCGUUGGAUUAGCUAGUUGGUAGGGUAAAAGCCUACCAAGGCGACGAUCCAUAGCUGGUCUGAGAGGAUGAUCAGCCACACUGGGACUGAGACGCGGCCCAGACUCCUACGGGAGGCAGCAGUGGGGAAUAUUGGACAAUGGGGGAAAGCCUGAUCCAGCAAUGCCGCGUGAGUGAUGAAGGCCUUAGGGUUGUAAAGCUCUUUUACCCGGGAUGAUAAUGACAGUACCGGGAGAAUAAGCUCCGGCUAACUCCGUG